rnacentral:lncRNA from 1 species
UUAUUAAUUCUCCUAAUUAUAAUUGGAUUUAUUACUACCCACAUUUAAUUAAAUUAAACUCAAUUAAUUUUAAAGGCCCAAAUUGUACUAAAUUAAUUUACCCAUCUCUUAUUAAUAUUUAUUAGCCCACACAAAUUAAAUAACUAGUUUGACCCAACAUAAAUGACAAAGUCCAAUUAAUAUGUUUUAAAACAAAAUAAUUUUUAUUAU